AUGGUUUCAUCUCCCAAGUUGGUAAGACAUAUAUUUCAUGUUUUAAAACAAUUUUUUAUGUUGGUCUUCCAAAAUUGCAUGUUUUGUGUGAUAUUCACUUUUGCUGAACUAGAAUACAUUGUUUAAGGGGCCAGCUGAAGAUAGAUUUGUGGCUUUUGCCUGCUUUCUGUUCUUCUGUGUGUUGUUGUCUCUUUGACACAUCCCCCUUUGCAUUCUCACUUUUAAUUCCAUUUUUUUUUUAAAAUCUUUUGUUAAUUAUAAGCAAGUAUAACCUUGUCCAAAUAUCUGUUCUUUUUGUCAGAAUUUGUAGCCCAUUUUAUGUCAAGGGACAGUUGACUUUGCUCUCAUAUAUGCUUUACAUGGCUUUAACUGAAUUGGUUUUGAAAUGAAAGGAAAUUUCUAUAGAUAAUAUUCACAGUUGAUAAAACAAAUGUUAUUGAAACUAAAUGUUCAUCCCUCAUGUAUUGACUUGUUUUCUACAAAAUUGCUUUGUUGUCAUUUUGAUGAGGUACAAUAAUCCUGUGGUCACUACAUUAAUUUUUGCCCAGCCUGCAUCUAAAUUUGAGGUGUUUAAUUUUUUUUCAAAAGUGACAUCUUUGUUAACAAUCUGUAAAUGAAAUAUAUUUUCCCUGAUUUUAACAUAAGAUGACUAAGAUUUGUAUGGUUAAAGGUCAUGGUCAAGGUCGUUGCCCCAGUGUUCAAGUUCUGUUUUUGGAUUGCCUUUUCUUAGUAACUAUACAUUAGAGGUUAACAAUGUUAUAGAUAUAGAUUUGUUCCGAUGAGUUUUAAGUUCAUCUGACAUUGUUAUAUAUCCUUGACUCCUUUUCCCUCUUCCGUAUUCCUUAUAAUAUCUUCGUUAAAUCUGAAUAACUUUAACUCUACUUUCUGCUAUAUAGAUGACGUUCUUUCACUAAACAAUUCAAAAUUUGGUGACUAUGUGGAACGCAUCUAUCCCAUCGAAUUGGAGAUAGAAGGAUACUACAGAUACAGUUAAGUCGGCUUCAUAUCUUGACUUACAUCUAGAAAUUGACAAUGAGGGUCGGUUGAAAACAAAACUUUACGACAAAAGAGAUGAUUUCAGCUUCCCAAUUGUGAACUUUCCAUUUCUAAGUAGCAACAUUCCAACAGCACCUGCAUACGGGGUAUAUAUCUCCCAAUUGAUACGAUAUUCCCGUGCUUGCAUUUCCUAUCAUGAUUUUCUUGAUAGAGGGUUACUGCUCACAAGGAAGCUAUUAAACCAAGAGUUCCAAAUGGUGAAGUUGAAAUCAUCCCUUUGUAAAUUUUACGGACGCCAUCACGAGUUGGUUGACCGUUAUGGAAUAACCGUUUCACAAAUGAUAUCGGAUAUGUUUCUUACGUCGUAACUACAAUCCCCUUCCCUUUCAUGAAUGUGACCUACCGAAUUAGACUAUUUACCGGAUUUGUAAUCACAUAAGCAACACGACGGGUGCCACAUGUGGAGCAGGAUCUGCUUACCCUUCCGGAGCACCUGAGAUCACCCCUAGUUUUUGGUGGGGUUCGUGUUGUUUAUUCUUUAGUUUUCUAUGUUGUGUCAUGUGUACUAUUGUUUUUCUGUUUGUCUUUUUCAUUUUUAGCCAUGGCGUUGUCAGUUUGUUUUAGAUUUAUGAGUUUGACUGUCCCUUUGGUAUCUUUCGUCCCUCUUUUAUAAUUGUGUAUAACUGUAUAUAGAUUUUUUUGCAUUGGUUUAAGAGUUACUUAGAAUGACUUCAUGUUUAAGUUUGAACAUUUCCUGUUGUUAUAAAUUUAGACUCAAGUAUUUGUACAUGUAGUUUGAUUUAAGACGUAUAUAAGUAAAGAUUACGUCAGGGCUAUUAUUCUGUUUGAAGUAUUUUUUACAUUAUGAUAAAUUAUUAUCUUGACAUUGGAAACUGAAAGAGUUGAUGAUUUUCUGUUCUUUAUUUGUCAGGUUUUGUUAAUUAAACAGUAAAAGGGGCUUGUGAUAGAUCCACAUUUACUUCAACAAUUACACAACAAAGAAGACAUGUGAUAGAUCGUAAUUUUCUUCAACAAUUACACAACAAAGAUUCAAACACAUCAUAUUACUAAGAGUCCUCACGUAUAGGCUAUUUUCUAGUGGCAGUCAUGAUUGCUAAUGAGACAACUAUCAAUUAUGAACAGAAAACGAAGCUGUGAACAAUUACAGGUCACACGUAAAACCUUUAACAAUGAGAAAUACCUAUACCGUAAAAAGUUGCACUUCUGUAAAUAUAGACAUGGCAAUUUGCCAAAGUAACUCCUCUUACAGCUAAAACUGCAACUUUUAUUAUCAAGUUUCAAAAAAAAAUUAUAUUCCAGAUGGAAAGUUCCUUUAUACUACUCUUUUUUCAAAGGUCAAAAUAAAUUAGGGCUGUGCGGCAUAUUUUCAACAUUUACAUGCCCUGAACUUCCAAGAGAUUAAAGAAAUUCUGUACUACCCCUCCCUUGACUUUGGGUCUUCUUCAGAACUCAAUUUAGCCACUAUCUAUGUGUAUUUAUACUGGUACCUUUCCCCUGUUAUGUCCUUAUGAGUUGAAACAGACAUCAUAUCUGGGAACCAGUGUGUAAACAAAAGAAAAUAUCUUUGAAUAUUAUAUAUCUCCCCAAAAAAAGUGUGGUUUGUAAAACAAUUGAAAAGAGAAAACCAAUAGCCUGAUAUAUACUGCAACAAAAGACAAAUAACAAAAAUGACAACAACCUACAACAUUAAUUGGAUUUCAGGCUUGCGACAGGCACUUAAAGAAUGUGGUAGGAUUAGAUGUGGUACGAAUGCCCAACUAGUGAAUAUAAGUCUCCUUCCUUCUCACCAUCCCCCUUAACCUGGGACAGGGGUAUGACAACACUAUAUAUUGAUAAUAAUUUACUACUGUAAGAUUUAUAACUUAUAUUGGAAGAAAACAGAUUUUUGGCACUAAAGUAAAAAAGAAUUUUAAGAUUAUUUCUCUUUAGAUUUACCAUAUUUUGCCAUUGUUCCUAUGAAAUCUAUUGUAAAAGCAAAAUAGUUGCAUAUUUUAUUGUCAGCUAUUUUUUUCCAUUAAUGUUUUAAUUUAAUUUGUUCAUAAAUUCUGCAUUUGUACAUUUUGUUGACAUAGUAUUUAUUUUUUCUUAGAACAAAUUAUGGUAUUGACCAGUGGCUAAAGAAUUGUUAAAAAUACUCAGUUUCUGCAUGAAGGGUAUUGAAAUUCCAAUAAGAAUCAAUUGAUGGAUAAAACCAUUCUGUAUUAAAAAAAUUCAGUUGGCAGGUGUUUAUAGAAAUUUCAUACAUGUAUUCAAAACAUCAAAAUUAUAUGCAUAUGUGUGAUUACCAUUGUUAAAAAAAAAUACUCUUGACUCCAGACAACACUUUAAAUUUUCUUUGACUCAUUUAAAACUGAAAAAGAACUUUUGUACAUUGAGGCAGGAUUCCAUACAUUAGUCCUAUAUUUUCCUUGGUUUCUGAAACAUUAAAAUUUUUUGUAACUUUGUUUAGGCCUAAAAAAAAAAUGUGUGUUUCCGGUAACAUCAUUUUAAAAAAUAGGGUCGGUAGGUCAGUAUUCUUUUUUUUUUUUUACAUUUUUUAUUUUGACAUUGUAGCGAAAUCUGGAAAUUUAUCAUAAUUUUUCCAAGUCCGGGUCCAUAAUUAGUUUCAAAUACCGAAGGUGCAGCCAUUUGCAAUGUUUUUGAAGCACCUGCUGUGCAAAUUUCUUGAAUUUAACCUAUUUGGAAUACCUUUUGACAUUAAUAAAAUGUUUUACUGGCUUUCUGUGCCAGUAGAAGCAAGUUAGAUAAAUUAUUAUGUCGAAUAACAGAAGCCUGUGUCAAAAACAGGGACUGUUGAUACCAUUUUUUUUUUGGAGAUCCAAUAAAAAAAUUAGGGUCAGGCUAAAAAACAGGGUCGGUCGGGUUACCGGAAACUCAGAUUUUUUUCUUUCUCUGCCUUAUAACAUUUACGAUUUUCAUUUUAAUCUUGAUGGUAAAUACUUUUAGUUUUAAUUAAUAUUAAUUUGAAUGCAGAAAUCACAACAAAGUUAUUUUAGACAAAUAUGACAUUUAAAGUUUGACAGCGAAAUCACUAUUUUAAUUCAAAUUUGUUUUGAAUCCAAUUUACAAACAAUUAGAAAUGAAUUAUAGAUAAAGUAAUAUUCCAUUUAUAAAUCUUUUGAAAUACAUUUAAAUAGGGUACAAAUGUAUAUUCAAAACAUAAAAUCACAAGUGCAGUAAAUUGAUGCAUUGAAUUUCUUUACAUUACAAGUUUUCCCAUAUGCACAAUGCAGUUAAAAAGAUCCUUUAUGGCAAAUUUAUUUGAAGUUAUAUUAAAAUUCAAUAAAGAUUAAAAAAGUAAAUAUACUAUAACUGAAUAUAAAUAUUCUAUUAUAAAUGCACACUUCAAAAUCAGUACUGCAUAUAUUCUAUGCUUGAUGCACAUGUAUUGAUUUCAAAAAUAAGUUUUUUUAUACCUCAUAUGUAGUGAAUGUCCAAUCAGAAUGUAAAUUCUAUUUUUAGCUGGUUGACGUGUUGUCUGGAGAUUGUGUGUUUGCUUUGCCAUGCUUUCACUUGUAGCUGUCUUGCUUUUAAAGUAGCUGGUUGCUGUUUGAAUUUUAUGAAAAACUGUGACUUGAUAGUGUGUGAUAAUUACUGUACAUUUUUGUGGACCUUUUUAUACAGUCAUGGAUAGGUAAGCCUAUAGUUGUUAUUGAUAGAUCAACUUGACCUAGAUUUACGAGCAGACGACUACUGACUGUGUAAUGUUUUGACCAGCAGAUAAAAAGGGCAUUUCAGGUCAUUCUAUUUAAUACCUUUAUUUAUAGACUGACCAUACUGAAGUGAACAAAAAUAGCCAUGGUCAGUAGUUUCACUUUGGUCACACUAUAUCUUUUUAACAAAGAAUUUUCC
rnacentral:lncRNA from 1 species